AUUCAUGUCUGUCUGGACUACUUUUGACUAGUAAAACUCCCUCAAUUGAACUCCUUUUCUGUUCCUAGCUACAGACAGGAAUAUCUGAGGUAAAAGUCCUUUUUUGCCAAAUUCCACAUCCUCAUAACUUUCUUCCUGGUUCAUUUCAAUCUACCAAACUUGGUAGAAUUCAUGCCUGUUUGAUCUACUAUUGAUUAGUAAAACUCCCUUAAUUCAACUCCUUUUCUGUUCCCAGUUACAGACAGGAACAUUUAAGGUAAAACUCCCUCGGUGCCAAAGUCCACAUGCUCAUAACUUUCUUCCUGGUUCAUUUCAAACUACCAAACUUGGUAGAAUUCAUGUCUGUUUGGUCUACUAUUGAUUAGUAAAACUCUAUUAAUCCAACUCCUUUUCUG